rnacentral:tRNA from 1 species
AGCCAUGGUGUAAUGGGUAACACCUUGUACUUUAAAUACAGUGAUUUGAGUUCAAACCUCAUUGGAACUA